rnacentral:rRNA from 1 species
CAGCCGCGGUAAUUCCAGCUCCGGUAGCGUAUAUUAAAGUUGUUGCGGUUAAAAAGCUCGUAGUCCGAACUCGGGUUCGUGGUCGCGCAAGCGGCCCCGGGGCGGCGGCGCCAUCGUCCGUCGUUGACUUUGGUCGUCCGUUCGCAUUCCCGGCCCUUUCCGCCGGUGUCAACCGCUAGCAUACCCGCCACGCGGUCCUGCCGGCGA